AGGCGAGAACUUUGUCUGGAGGUACUAUAGGACUUCCCUGGAGGUCCUUCAAACAGUGAAUCAUCAAUGCUGAAAUGUUUGCAGCUGACUUCCCACCUCAGGCUGAACUACAAAAAGAAGAAAAUGAUUGGUUAUUUGGGCAAUUGAAUUGUCUGCAAUUGUGUGUUUAGGCCUUGGUAGAUUUUUUCCUAGAGUUAGAGUGAUGGGAUGUAAUGAGUGCAACAGGGUCUCAAACCUGUUGUAUGCUAAGGACUUACUGAGAUGUUCCAAGUGUUGAUUUUUGUCUAAAGUCAACAGGAGAACCUGUCUAGCAAUCAAGAGAAGACAACAGUGUCUGGGAGUGUUCAUCUGGCAUCAGUUUUCAAACUGUCCUCUCUGAUCAUGUGUGUCAUGAGUGGACUCACCUCUCUGAUAGUUUGGAACAGAAAGGGAGCAGUAAAUACUACAGCUGUUAAAGGUGGAUUUUUUUUCAUAGCUGUUGUGGCUUUGUAGCUGUUGGGACCUUCUAAUCCAGGUUUGAACCUAAUAUGGAAGACAUAAUUUCUCCAGUGAGGAACUGGAUGUUGACUUUAUAAAACUUACUGACAGAGAAAGUAGUAACACCUGAGAGUGAGUGGAGAAAAAACUUCAGACUUCAACUGUGGCUUCCACAAAGGGCAUCACACCUACGCACUGUAGGCACAUGGAAAAGUUUGGCUUCUUGCACCAUGCUCAAUUACAAACCCCAGUUAAAUCUUAUGUAAGCUAUUUGGACAGUGUGUGCAUAGCACAAACCACAUCUUAUCUUUUGUAAGUUGAUCAGCAUAGUGUUUUAUCCUCAAUUUCUUUUAAUUGUAUUUCUUUGGAGUAGGUUGAUGCUUGCUCUCAUUGAAUGGUAGUCUUGGUGUUGUUCUCUUAGUUCUGGAAUAAUGUUAGAAGUUUUUUACAUGUUUUUAAGUGUCUCAGAUGCUUUGGAACCCUUUUCUUCCUUUCUACCUCGUGUAUAUAUGUGUUUGCUUUGCUUGUACUUGCUUUCAAUUUGACUUUUUCCCCUGUAGGUAUUACAGAAACCAUGACCUCAGAUCUUUUGGCUUGUUCUGUUAACAGCGUACCUGAAUCCUUGGCAAAACCCCAUCACUCAAUGAAUGCUGAGCAGCUCCAGGUUUCUUUGGGUAGCCAAAGGAAAUAUAAAAUUAAUUAGCAACAUAAUUUAGGUCUUUACCUGCCUUGUAAAAGUCCACAAAUAUUUGCACUAGUUAGAAGCUUCUGGCUAAGAUCCUGUUCUCCUCUCUAAGGGUAUCAAAUGCUGCAAUUCAGCUGAAUUGCUGAAAAUUUGACAAUUAGUGCUGGGGAUUCUCCUAAAGGCUUUCACAGUUUUAUGUAUUAAUUAUUCACUCAAACAUUUAGCAAACAGAAGUCAACUGGAAAUGCAGAUUUGCACCCAUCUUAUGUCACUUCUUCCUACACUCAUUCUCUGCAUGAAUUGAUUAUUUUUUUGCUGUGAUAAAACAGGUUAAGCUGUCUCUCUGCCUUUAUGAGGACAAAAAGAGACAGUGCAUGUAUGAAUUUUGCAGCAUUUUGGAGGGUAUGCUUUCUGUCUGGAUUACUUGCAUAAAAAAUAAGUAACUUUUGGUGGAAUGCCUCUGUUUUUCAUCUUGAUGGAUUUAUAAAGCU